rnacentral:rRNA from 1 species
ACGAACGCUGGCGGCGUGCUUAACACAUGCAAGUCGAACGGAAAGGCCCUGCUUUUGUGGGGUGCUCGAGUGGCGAACGGGUGAUUAACACGUGAGUAACCUGCCCUUGACUUUGGGAUAACUUCAGGAAACUGGGGCUAAUACCGGAUAGGAGCUCCUGCUGCAUGGUGGGGGUUGGAAAUUUUCGGCGGUUGGGGAUGGACUCGCGGCUUAUCAGCUUGUUGGUGGGGUAGUGGCUUACCAAGGCUUUGACGGGUAGCCGGCCUGAGAGGGUGACCGGCCACAUUGGGACUGAGAUACGGCCCAGACUCCUACGGGAGGCAGCAGUGGGGAAUAUUGCACAAUGGGCGGAAGCCUGAUGCAGCAACGCCGCGUGCGGGAUGACGGCCUUCGGGUUGUAAACCGCUUUCGCCUGUGACGAAGCGUGAGUGACGGUAAUGGGUAAAGAAGCACCGGCUAACUACGUG